rnacentral:rRNA from 1 species
CUUCGGGGAGUGUAUAAAGUGGCGCACGGGUGAGUAACACGUAGGUAAUCUACCUUUGAGUGGGGAAUAACAGUCGGAAACGACUGCUAAUACCGCAUAAUGCAGCGGCACCUAAUGGUGACAGUUGUUAAAGGAGCAAUCCGCUUAAAGAGGAGCCUGCGGCAGAUUAGCUAGUUGGUAAGGUAAUGGCUUACCAAGGCUACGAUCUGUAACCGACCUGAGAGGGUGGUCGGUCACACUGACACUGAAUAACGGGUCAGACUCCUACGGGAGGCAGCAGUCGGGAAUUUUGGGCGAUGGGCGAAAGCCUGACCCAGCAACGCCGCGUGAAGGACGAAGUCUUUCGGGAUGUAAACUUCGUAAGAAUAGGAAGAAUAAAUGACGGUACUAUUUGUAAGGUCCGGCUAACUACGUGCCAGCAGCCGCGGUAAUACGUAGGGACCAAGCGUUGUUCGGAUUUACUGGGCGUAAAGGGCGCGUAGGCGGCGUGUUAAGUCAGCUGUGAAAUCUCCAAGCUUAACUUGGAACGGUCAGCUGAUACUGAUGUGCUAGAGUGCAGAAGGGGCAAUCGGAAUUCUUGGUGUAGCGGUGAAAUGCGUAGAUAUCAAGAGGAACACCUGAGGUAAAGACGGGUUGCUGGGCUGACACUGACGCUGAGGCGCGAAAGCUAGGGUAGCAAACGGGAUUAGAUACCCCGGUAGUCCUAGCCCUAAACGAUGAAUACUUGGUGUCUGGGAGUUUUUAUUC